rnacentral:misc_RNA from 1 species
AUGACAUAAUGUAGCUUGGCAAACGCUCAUAGUACUUAAGAUGACACCCUAUGAACAACUAACUUCUGUAGCUGUAUGGAGUUCUUUGCGUCUCUUUCUGCAACAUUUGUCAUGGCAAUAUUUAACAUUUCUUUUGGGCAGCUCUACAAUUUCAGAUGCAUGAUACUCUCCCUCGGACUUCCUUUUUCAUGUCUGUCAUUAUGUUUCAAUUCAUAAUAUGUGUGCUUGAGUGGUUAUAACCAAGCUGAGCUGGAAUGAACACAUUAAACUGAAUCUAUAUGAACUCAAUGGCUAAAUGGAUGUUGCCAUAUGAAAGGAUGCUCUUUUUUGGUCUCCUCCCUCUCCUCUCACCAAGACAGAUCCUCUGUCACUUGAUUUACAUGGUUGUGCUCUAAU